GACGAACCGUCCUAACGUUGUUCGGAAUCACUGGGCUUAAAGGGCGCGUAGGCGGGUUCCCAAGUCGGUGGUGAAAUCUUUCGGCCCAACCGGAAAACAGCCGCCGAUACUGGGAGUCUUGAGGGAGGUAGGGGUCGAUGGAACUUCCGGUGGAGCGGUGAAAUGCGUAGAUAUCGUGAGGAACACCAGAGGCGAAGGCGGCUACCUGGACAAUUGCUGACACUCAGGCACGAAAGCGUGGGGAGCAAAAGGG
rnacentral:rRNA from 1 species